UAGAGCAGUGUAAAGAACAUUUACUCAGCGAGGGCUAUUUCUAUGCCAAGUUUCAGUUCUACCCACAUCAAUCUUGGCUGCAGAGAUGCAUGAAAAAAAGUCUCCAGAUCUUUUUCUUAAUAAUGAGAAGGUAUAUAUUUUACUCUCCUUAUAUGCAAAAGGAGCUGAAUCAGUUUUGCUCAGUUUUUCAAAAGAAGUUCACCUUCAGAGAGAGAUUAUUCCAGCCUCUCUUCCACUUGAAAAACAUCAGUUAAAAAUAGCUGAAGAAUGGAAAAGGAAUAAGUGAAGAUCACCUCCACCCCACCACCUUUCUGUCAUGAACGCAUGGAAAAUCCUUUAUGCAAGCAACAAGGAGGCAUCUUGGACAGGAAGGAGCAAUAGUGAGUAGGAAUCAGGAUCACUGUCAUUGACACCUUCAGGCAACACCAGAGGUGAAGGUAUCAGCAAUAACACUACACUUCUGCAAGUCACUUUGAAUUUGGAAUUCCUGUCAACAAGUAUGACUGGCUCCCU